GAAUGGAUUUUACAACGAUGGUCAUAACGGGAAUGUUGCUGAGUGAGAACGCGCCCGUGACUUCCGCUUCCGGCGCCGCGCCCGCGCAGCAUCCGCGUCCAGCAGACCGGCAACGCUAUAUUCCGCGGCCUGCCCACCAAAGUUCCAGUUAAUAAAGAUUUUGUACACAUAUCUAUAUUAAUUUAUAAUUAAAC
rnacentral:lncRNA from 1 species